rnacentral:rRNA from 1 species
CUAGAGCUAAUACAUGCGAAAAGACCCGACUUCUGGAAGGGUUGUAUUUAUUAGAUAAAAAACCAAUGGGGGCAACCUCUUUGUGGUGAUUCAUAAUAACUUUGCGAAUCGCAUGGCCUUGUGCCGGCGAUGAAUCAUUUAAAUUUCUGCCCUAUCAACUUUCGAUGGUAAGGUAUUGGCUUACCAUGGUUGCAACGGGUGACGGGGAAUUAGGGUUCGAUUCCGGAGAGGGAGCCUGAGAAAUGGCUACCACAUCCAAGGAAGGCAGCAGGCGCGCAAAUCACCCAAUCCUGACACAGGGAGGUAGUGACAAUAAAUAACAAUACAGGGCCUUCGGGUUUUGUAAUUGGAAUGAGUACAAUUUAAAUCUCUUAACGAGUAACAAUUGGAGGGCAAGUCUGGUGCCAGCAGCCGCGGUAAUUCCAGCUCCAAUAGCGUAUAUUAAAGUUGUUGCAGUUAAAAAGCUCGUAGUUGGACUUCUGCGCCGUCCCGCUGGUCUGCCGCAAGGCUGCACAAGCGGGUUGGCGCAUCCUCUCGAAGGCUGGGGGUGCUCUUCACUGGGUGCUCCCAGAACUCGGGAUCUUUACUUUGAAAAAAUUAGAGUGUUCAAAGCAGGCUUACGCUUGAAUACAUUAGCAUGGAAUAAUGAAAUAGGACUUUGGGUCUAUUUUGUUGGGUUCCUAGAACUGAAGUAAUGAUUAAUAGGGAUAG